rnacentral:rRNA from 1 species
GCCCCCCGAAUUGUAGUCUAGAAAGGCGCCAUCGGCCGCGUCCGUCGCUAAAAUCCCUUGGAACAGGGUAUCGGAGAAGGUGAGAAUCCUGUGACGUGGCGGAUCGCGGCCGCACGAUGCGCCCUUGCAGAGUCGGGUUGCUUGGGAUUGCAGCUUGAAGUGGGAGGUAAAUUCCUUCUAAAGCUAAAUACUGGCUCAUGACCGAUAGCGAACAAGUACCGUGAGGGAAAGAUGCAAAGAACUUUGAAAAGAGAGUUAAAGAGUGCUUGAAAUCGGCAAGAGGAAACCCGGUUGUGCCCGGUGUCGUGCCGUCGAUUCAGCCACGUUUGUGCGUGGUGCACUUCUACGGCGCGGGUCAGACGCCUCUCUGCGGGUGGCAUACGCGCUCGGUAGGCCUUCGGGGAGCCGAGUAUUCGCCACGCGCGGGGCGCCGUCUGACGUAACGGGCACCACCGACCCGUCUAGAAACACGGACCAAGGAGUCUGACAUGGACGCGAGUACACGGGUGGCAAGCCUGCGUGCGCAAUGAAAGCAAAGGGCGUGCCCCGCCAACCGACCUUGAUCUUCUGUGAAGGGUUUGAGUGUAGCGUUCCUGUCGGGACCCGAAAGAUGGUGAACUAUGCCUGAGUAGGUUGAAGUCUGCUGAAAGGCAGAUGGAGGGCCGUAGCGAUACUGACGUGCAAAUCGUUCGUCGAACUUGGGUAUAGGGGCGAAAGACUAAUCGAACCGUCUAGUAGCUGGUUCCCUCCGAAGUUUCCCUCAGGAUAGCUUGAACGCCACGGUUUUGU